GAAUCCCGUCUUUGGCAUGGAUGACCGGGGCUUUUGUGAUGCGCUCUCGAAGAGUCGAGUUGUUUGGGAAUGCAGCUCAAAAUGGGUGGUGAACUCCAUCUAAAGCUAAAUAUUGGCGAGAGACCGAUAGCGAACAAGUACCGUGAGGGAAAGAUGAAAAGCACUUUGGAAAGAGAGUGAAACAGUACGUGAAAUUGUUGAAAGGGAAACGCUUGAAGUCAGUCGCGUCGGCCGAGACUCAGCCUUGCCUCGGCUUGGUGUACUUCUUGACCGACGGGUCAGCAUCAAUUUUGCCCCUUGGAUAAUGGCGAGGGAAAUGUGACACCUUUAUAGGUGUGUUAUAGUCUCUCGUCGCAUGCAAGGGUCGGGAUUGAGGAACUCAGCACGCGCCUUCGGGCGUCGGGGCCUUGCCCACGAUACGUGCUUAGGAUGUUGGUGUAAUGGCUUUAAACGACCCGUCUUGAAACACGGACCAAGGAGUCUAACAUGCCCGCGAGUGUUCGGGUGGAAAACCCGUGCGCGCAAUGAAAGUGAAAGUUGGGACCUCUGUCGCGGAGGGCACCGACGCCCGGACCAGAGCUUCUGCGACGGAUCUGCGGUGGAGCGUGUAUGUUAGGACCCGAAAGAUGGUGAACUAUGCCUGAAUAGGGUGAAGCCAGAGGAAACUCUGGUGGAGGCUCGUAGCGAUUCUGACGUGCAAAUCGAUCGUCAAAUUUGGGUAUAGGGGCGAAAGACUAAUCGAACCAUCUAGUAGCUGGUUCCUGCC
rnacentral:rRNA from 1 species